rnacentral:rRNA from 1 species
GACAAACGCUGGCGGCGUGCCUAAUACAUGCAAGUCGAACGGAGUGGCGCACGGGUGAGUAAUGUAUAGCUAAUCUGCCCUACACUAGAGGACAACAGUUGGACACGACUGCUAAUACUCUAUAGUGUAGGAUGAGGCUAUAUUGUAUCAGCUAGUUGGUGAGGUAAUGGCUCACCAAGGCUAUGACGCAUAACUGGUCUGAGAGGAUGAUCAGUCCCACUGGGACUGAUACACGGUCCAGACUCCUACGGGUGUCAGCCGUAGGGAAUAUUGCUCAAUGGGGGAAACCCUGAAGCAGCAACGCCGCGUGGAGGAUGACACUUUUCGGAUCGUAAACUCCUUUUGUUAGGGAAGCGGUACCUAACGAAUAAGCACCGGCUAACUCCGGGCCAGCAGCCGCGGUAAUUC